rnacentral:lncRNA from 1 species
UGGGCCAAGGUUCCAGGGGCCCCACAGAACUAGAAUUGCAAAAGCACAAUGCAGCACUCCCUAAUCAAUUCAUAGGGUGACCUCACAGCAUCAGUCAAUGGAGAAAUAAAAAGCAGAGGUUAAAGAAUGUGCUCAAGGUUACUCUGUAAGGAAGUAAUGGAGCCAGAAUGCACGGACCAUCUGGAACCCUGAUACCAUCAGGAACACAAAAAUGGAUGCUAAUCAAAGAAGCCUCUUGAUCUCUUGAUCUUCCUGCUGCCUCAUUUCUUUAUUUAAUAGCAGGUGGACAUCCACCUCAGAGAGGGCUGAGAUACAGGCAGCUGUGGCAGAGCCAUCUGGCAAGAUUCUGCAUGGCCC